UCCUACGGGGGGCAGCAGUGAGGAAUAUUGGUCAAUGGGCGGGAGCCUGAACCAGCCAAGUCGCGUGAGGGAAGACGGUCCUAUGGAUUGUAAACCUCUUUAGGCGGGGAGCAAUGCCGGGCACGCGUGCCCGGAGGGAGAGUACCCGCAGAAUAAGCAUCGGCUAACUCAGUGCCAGCAGCCGCGGUAAUACGGAGGAUGCGAGCGUUAUCCGGAUUUAUUGGGUUUAAAGGGUGCGUAGGCGGUCCGGAAAGUCAGCGGUAAAAGCCCGGGGCUCAACCCCGGCGAGCCGUUGAAACUGUCGG
rnacentral:rRNA from 1 species